rnacentral:rRNA from 1 species
UACGAAGGGAGCGAGCGUUGUUCGGAAUCACUGGGCUUAAAGCGUGCGUAGGCGGCUUUGUAAGUCAGAAGUGAAAGCCCAGGGCUCAACCUUGGAAUUGCUUUUGAGACUGCAAGUCUAGAAUUCGGUAGAGGCUAGUGGAAUGUCCAGUGUAGAGGUGAAAUUCGCAGAUAUUGGACGGAACACCAGUGGCGAAGGCGACUAGCUGGGCCGAUAUUGACGCUGAGGCACGAAAGCGUGGGGAGCAAACAGG